AAACCAACUGGGAUUACCUUAGUAACGGCGAGUGAAGCGGUAAAAGCUCAAAUUUGAAAUCUGGUACUUUCAGAGCCCGAGUUGUAAUUUGUAGAAUUUGUCUUUGAUUAGGUCCUUGUCUAUGUUCCUUGGAACAGGACGUCAUAGAGGGUGAGAAUCCCGUUUGGCGAGGAUACCUUUUCUCUGUAAGACUUUUUCGAAGAGUCGAGUUGUUUGGGAAUGCAGCUCAAAGUGGGUGGUAAAUUCCAUCUAAAGCUAAAUAUUGGCGAGAGACCGAUAGCGAACAAGUACAGUGAUGGAAAGAUGAAAAGAACUUUGAAAAGAGAGUGAAAAAGUACGUGAAAUUGUUGAAAGGGAAGGGCAUUUGAUCAGACAUGGUGUUUUUGCAUGCACUCGCCUCUCGUGGGCUUGGGCCUCUCAAAAAUUUCACUGGGCCAACAUCAAUUCUGGCAGUAGGAUAAAUCAUUAAGAAUGUAGCUACCUCGGUAGUGUUAUAGCUUAUUGGAAUACUGCU
rnacentral:rRNA from 1 species